rnacentral:rRNA from 1 species
UACGAAGGGUGCAAACGUUAUUCGGAAUCACUGGGCGUAAAGGGUGCGUAGACGGUAUGUUAAGUUCGUCGUUAAAGGCUUCGGCCUAACCGGAGUACCGCGAUGAAAACUGGCGUACUAGAGGAUGAGAGAGAGAAGUGGAAUUCCUGGAGUAGCGGUAAAAUGCGUGGAUCUCAGGAGGAACACCAAUGGCGAAGGCAGCUUCUUGGCUCAUUCCUGACGUUGAGGCACGAAAGCGUGGGGAGCAAACAGG